CAGCAGCCACGGGAAUACGUAGGGUGCGAGCGUUAAUCGGAAUUACUGGGCGUAAAGCGAGCGCAGACGGUUAUUUAAGCAGGAUGUGAAAUCCCCGGGCUUAACCUGGGAACUGCGUUCUGAACUGGAUAGCUAGAGUGUGUCAGAGGGGGGUAGAAUUCCACGUGUAGCAGUGAAAUGCGUAGAGAUGUGGAGGGAUACCGAUGGCGAAGGCAGCCCCCUGGGAUAACACUGACGUUCAUGCUCGAAAGCGUGGGUAGCAAACAGGAUUAGAUACCCCUGUAGUCCCUGUCUCUUAUAC
rnacentral:rRNA from 1 species